UCCAUCUUUUAAUAAAGACUCUACUUAAUUAUCAUCGGCCUCUGAUUCACCUUUUAAAAUGUUAACAGCAGAAAGUGGUUCUAAUAUUGAACAUGCUAGAGGCGAAGCAUUUAUAUUUGUCUUGUGGAACUUAUUUUUUUGGAACGGAACCACGCGUUAAGUGAAAUUUGAAAUGGCAGCAUGUGAUGAGAACACAAGGUAUUGUGUCGAGCCGUUUAACAGUAAAAACUUUUCUCUGUUUAAGUGCCGUGUUGAAGCUGUGUUUGCGGCCAAAGAACUUGAUAAAUAUUUAGACGUUGAAGUGGAUGAAACGAAAGUUGCUGAAAUCAAAGAUGCAAAAAAAGGCUUACGCAUUGCUGCUAACCCUUCUAUAUGAUGCCAUAUUGGCGACCAUGUCAAGUGAAUCUUCUGAAAUUUGGAGCAGUUUAAAGAAUAAAUACCUGAAUGUGAGUGCAGUUAGUCAAAUAUUAGUACAAAAUAAAUUAUUGACACAGAAGAAAUGACGAAAUUGCAGUAUGCAGUCACAUAUUAACGAACUGUUGGCGAUCGCAAAUGAACUGGGACACUCGGUUGCUGAAGUCAAAGAUAUGGAUAUGAUUAUUUAUUUGUUGAUGUCGCUACCUGCAGAGUACGACAUUAUUAAAUCGACUCUUGAAUACUGAAGAAUUGCCAGGUGAAAGAAAUUCUUAUGAUUCUCAUGUUUCUGGCUCAAGUAAUAAUGUAGCUUUUAGUGCUGAUAAGUGUGAUAUCAUCUGCCACAAAUGUAAAAGUCAUAUUGCCAAGCUUUGCAAGAUAAGUGGUAGUGGUAGAUUUAUGGCACAAAGCUCUAUAGGCCAUAUGCGCCAAACGCAGGAUUCGUAUUUCAGCAUAAAAAGAUAGUGAAAUGGUGGGAUGAAAAUGUUGAUUAUGAUUCAGAUAAUGACAUAUGCAAUAUAGAUAUAAAAUCUUAAAAUAUCUGAUUCAUUAAAAUUCUAACAUAAAAUCUCAAGACAAAAAUCAAAUUAAAUAAUAGAAACCUGUUUCUUUCAGGUAGUCAAAUAAAUUGGUAUUGACCUCUCUUCCGAUUAAACGGUCGAGAGGCAGGUCACAGCUAUUAAAAUAUGGACAUUCAAUUAAAAUGUGAUAGACAGAUAGGACAUUCAAUUAAAAUGUGAUAGAUAGACAAACAUUACAAUUUCACAAACAGGCUCGUUUUCAGCUUUCAAAAGGUAGUUAUGUGUUACUCUAGUGUGACCAAUUCUAAGGCGAGUUAAAAGAACUUGUUCCUUAUGAUUGCAAGUAGUAUGCCAAUAUUUUAGCCUUUACCCUUCUCAACUUGUUAUGUAUCUGAAUGUCCCAAAGUUGUUGCCAUUUAUAUCUGAUCUUCCCUUUGAUGACACAACAGAUAUCUCUAAAAGGGAUGAGGCGGUCAGACGUUUCAACAGCAGAUUUUGCUGUGACUUUGCAAGAUAAAAUUAGUUUGUUCUGGAUGUGGAUGGCCAAGGCAUUACAAGAAAGAUUGCAGAUUUAAGCAUAAAUCAGAUUACAGAGAAUUGGCUACAGAAUCAUUCUUGGUUAGAGAGCCUGUUGGAAAUUUCAUUCUGGAUUCUGGAGCAUCUAUACACAUGUGUAAUAAAGGUUGUAUUGGCAACAGUCGUCAUAGUGUAGUUUGGUGUGAUAUGUAGAAGUGUGCUAUGCCAUGUGUGUGAUUAAUUCCAUCUUUUAAUAAAGACUCUACUUAAUUAUCAUCAGCCUCUGAUACACCUUUUUAAAACUCAACAGUUAUGAAUGCAAACUUUGCUCUAUUCAUUAGUGGAAACAAUAGACAAAAGACAAAGUUGCAAAGAAGCCUUUGGUAAAUAAGCUUGAUAGCAUUUUUAGGCACUAAAAUGGCUCUUUCACACAGCCAUUGAUGUGAGUUGUAAUUUUCCAAUACAUCUCAAGACACUUUACAUAUUAGGUCUUUGAAUGAAUUGACCAUUUUGCAGAAAUUUGAGAAAAAUGAAAGUAGACUAAAAGUGGAAUUAACAAAAAAUUCUGCAUUGUCAAGUGAUAGCAAUUGCUGCACAAAUUGCUCUAUAUUUGUUUCUCUUCCUAAGCAACCCUCAUAUUCAUCUUGAGAUCCAUUUUGCAGAGCUGUCUCCAUAAGGUCAAUGUUGUAAUGCAGGCAAUGUCCAUCUGCUGGCCCAGAGUUGAGAAUCACAGGAAAGGAUUGCCAAGAGGACAACACUGUUCAUGAGCUGCCUAUUUCUGCAUGUCUUGUAAAGUGAAAUAAAGUGAUUCUUGUGCA